rnacentral:rRNA from 1 species
GACGAACGCUGGCGGCGUGCUUAACACAUGCAAGUCGAACGAAGUGGCGAACGGGUGAGUAACGCGUAAUCAACCUGCCCUUCAGAGGGGGACAACAGUUGGCACCGACUGCUAAUACCGCAUACUGAAGGAGGGGAUUGCGUCUGAUUAGCUAGUUGGAGGGGUAACGGCCGACCAAGGCGAUGAUCAGUAGCAGGUCUGAAGGGAGGAACGGACAAAUUGGGAAUGAGACACGGGCCAGGCUCCGACGGGAGGCAGCAGGGGGGAAUUUUCCGCAAUGGGAGAAAGGCUGACGGGGCAACGCCGCGUGGGUGAGGAAGGGUUUCGGGUUGGAAAGCUCUGUUAGUCGGGAAGCGGUACCUGAAUAGAAAGCCACGGCUAACUACGUGCCAGCCGCCGCGGUAAUUC